ACCCCAUGCGGGGACGGAUAGCACGGAGGAGCGUUGCCUUGGCAACGCAGGCUUAGGAGGGUGGCGCUGGUAACCAGGGCUGCUUUUGACCUUCACCGUCUCUCGGGCUGGUGGCUUUCUCAUCUCCCUGCUGUUCCGCUGGAGCCAUGCCCAAGCCUGCAAUGAGGCCAUCCUUAGGGGAGGCCUUUGGCCACCCUCUGUGUCACCCACCCUUUCAUCUUAGAGGGCAUCGCCAUGAAAUGCACUUCACCAGGAGGCACAGAGGAAUCCCGUGCCUGUUUGAAAGCACUCAACCAAAGCUGAGCCCCUGCUCGCCCUGGAUUCACGCUGUGGUUCCCACCCAGGGUCAUGCCUGCUGCUCACCCUAUAGCUCUAACCAGGCAAGCAAGGCCACCUCCGAGUUCCAGGUGGAUCUAAUGCAAAAGAUGGUAAAUACAGCAUUAGAAUCACGUCUCCUGGCUUUAUUCCUUUCUCUGAGCUGUGUGACCUUAGGCAGAAGGCUUUACCUCUCUGAGCCUCUGCUGCUGAGCCUCCACUGUCUCAGAAAAGGGGGUUUGACACACCUCCUCUCUCCAGGGGCUGUCCUCAGGGCAUCCGAAGUCUUCCCCAGGCCUCAGGCCCUCGUAUCAUGAUGCUGAGCGUGUGUGUGGUGGGGUGUGUGUUCUUUUGUUUAUUUGUUUUUUGGGUUUUUUGGCCACACCUGUGGCUUGCACAAGUUCCCAGACCAGGGAUUGAACCUGGGACCACAGCAGUGAAAGUGCCAAAUCCUAACCACUAGGCCACCAGGGAACUCCUGUGAGGGGGCGUCUUAAUUUGCCCGCAUAACAAAACACCGCAGCCUGGUGGCUUAUAAACAACAGAAACUUAGUCCCAACUGUCCUGGGGCUGAGUCUGACUCGCCGCCAGAUACGGUGUCAGGCGGGGUCCUCUUCCUGGCUCAGCGGUGGCCAUGGUUUUCUCUGUGUCCUCGCAGGGAGCAGGGGCGAGGGAGCCUCUGGGCCCCUUUCCUGAGGACGCGCCGGUCCCGAGGCUCCACCCUCCUGCCUGCUCAGCUCCCAGAGGCUCUGCCUCCUGCCACCAUAACCCCGGGGGCUCGUUUUCAACGUGCGGAUUUGGGGGCACACCUCGGUCUCUGCUUCUCCUCUCGCUAGUGCCAGGUGUGUGUGGACCUCCAGUGCUGCACCGGCUCCUCCAGGAGUCUCGACUCUUCCCAAGAUCUUGGUUAGAGACCCCAGGGCCCCCAGCCCGGCCUGGCGAUAAGCUUUCCCCCUCCGGCUCCAAAGGAGCGCAGGCGGUAUUGCAGGCUUCCCGGUCAUCUGAAGGCUUGGCAUCGACUGGGGUUCCGGGAGGAGUGGGGAGCUGGCCCCUGCUGGCCCGGAGCCCACGUUGCAGCCGGGCAGCCUCAGCGGCCUGGGGCGGGGGCCGAUCUGCUCUCCUGGCCUGGGCCUUGGGAACAGCGAGCAGGACUCAAAGCUGGCCCCCGAUGGGCCAGCCCCUCCCCGCCGCGGGGCCAGGCAUCUCCCCUUGACCUUGGCGGGGUCUGUUGGAUGGAUGCGUGCACGGGCAGCCUGCCUGGUCUCAUGCAAGGUCAGAGGAUUUCUGAAAAUGCUUAAAAGCUUCAGCUCUUUUAAGCAGGAUGUUCUUCACUUGGCUCAGAGAGGUUUUCUGGGCACAGGCAGCCCGGGGCCCUGGGGUGGCUGUGUUCCCUCCGUCUGGGGCUGAGGCCUGGCGGGAGGAGCUUGGCAUCCCCUGGGGGUGGGUCUCAGGGACGGAUCCCGAGCUCUUUUCGAGUGGGGGUGAAUGUCCCCUCCCAGCCAAGGGGAAAAGGAGGUGGGGUAGGUGCCCCGUACCCUGGCCCCUGGGCUGAGCACCAAGCGAGUCAUCGGCCUGCUGGCCCGAGGCUUCCCUACAGCACCUGCUCCCACACAAGGUCAAGAGGGCACCCCUGCGGGUCCCCGAGGCCCGGGAGGAUGAAAACCAGCCCGGCCUCUUUAAGAAUCUGUUGCCAGAGUAGAGAAAAUGCAGAGCGAGGCCUUUGGUAAACAACCCGGGUGCAGUAACAGCUCCCAGCUGUGCGGGGGGCGGGGCGCCGAGCUGGCGAGGGUGGGAUGGGCUGAGGUCAGGCUGGGUGGGGACCAGCCGGGAACACGGGGCGGGGGUGGGGGGGCAGUGGGCUGAGCUGGGAUGGGGUUUGUCCAAGCGAGCGAGCGAACGAGCGUGCAGCGGACGAGCCUCAAAGCCUUCCAAGGCCUGGAAGCUUCCACCUCCCUCGGGGGCCUUCUCUGAAUCCUCCCAGAUGGCCGCCAGUGAGGAGGCCAAGGUUUCAGUCCGGCAAGUGCCUUUGGGAGGAAGGGGGGAGUCUGCAUCCUCUUUUCCACGUCGCUCGCAGUAGUUCAGGGACGUGUCCAAGGGGGCGCUCAGGAUCUCUGAGUACCAAGCACAGCACCUGUAAACGGUCCCUCGGCAACGCCCUUCUCCAGACCCAUCCCCUGGAGCCGCACCUUCUCAUACCUGGGAGCUGUGCCUCAGCCUCCUGGGGGGUCUCCCUGCCUCCCAGCCCUGUCCAGGCCAAGCCCAUAGAGCCACCACCACUGCUGCCUGAAAGCGCCUCAUCAGGACGUUUCCCUUGGCUUGAACCGAGGGAGGCAGGGAUAGUGAUUUCCUGCCAGUGAUCGUAGAUGCGUCAGGAUGCUUUUGGCUGUUAAUAACAAACCCACUUCAGAAAGGCUUCAACUUGGGGGAGGAUAUGAUGGUUUAUAUUAACGGGGAGGCACCAAAGCUGGGUAGGCUUCAUGGGUGGUUGAGCCAGCAGUUCACCUGUAUCCAGAGUACCAGGUUCAGGUCCCCCCCUCCUUUGUACCCUCUGUAGCCACAGCUUUGUCCUCACGCCGGCUUCCCUCAUGGUGCCAAAAUGGCUGCCGUGGCUCCAGCUCUGCACCACAACCUUUAAAUGGCAGAGCAAAUCUCUCUUUCUGAACUCCAAUUCUGGUCACAUAUUUCUGUCCAACAAAUCACCCCAAAACUUAGUGACUCAGUCUUAUUUUGCUCAUAAACCCUCGAUGUGGGCAGGACUCAGCAAGAACAGUUCAUCCUGGCCCACACGGCAUGGGGGUGGGGGGUGAUGCACCACAGCUGGAGCUUGGAGACUCUGUUUCGAGAUGGCUCACUCAACGUGGCUGAUAAAUUGGCACUGAUGCUCGGUUCCCAUACAGAACUCCUUGGGUUUCCUGACGGCCUGGUGCCUGGGCUCCAGGAGAACAAGGCAAGCCGCAGGAGGCAUUUUUAGGACCUGGGCUCUGGAGUCACACAGCAUCACUUCCUUUGUGCUGUCUUGGUUGCAGCGGUCACAAAGGCCUUCCCGGAUUCAAAGGGGGGAGCUACAGUCCUCACCACUCCUGGGAGGAGCGUCAAGGUCACAGUGAUGACGCGUCUAUGGGUUGGGAGCUAUUGGUGCCCCCAUCUUGGAAAUCCCAUCAGCCACAACCCCCUGCAAGUGUCUUUUCCGCUCUCAGCACUAAUCAUGGGAUGGGGCGUGUGUCCCCUCUGGAGCUGGGGAAGACUCAGCGCUCUCCCCAGAGUGCCUGGGCUGUGCGGGGGGAGGUGUGGGUCUUCCAGAGAAAGGAAGGAGAAGCUCAGGGUGCAAGGAGUGCCCCCGACAGCCGUGUUCACGGGACCCUCGCUCUGUGCCAGGGGCUGUGCCACGUGCUUGAUCUCAUUCACUCUGUUACGUCUGAGCACAACCCAGUGAGACCGGGGCUCGUGUUCUCUGCGCUUUAUAAAAACGGGUUUGUAACUCACCCAGGGCCACAAGGCCAGAAGACAGCAGAGACAGAAUAAAGGUCAGGUUUCUGGCUCUGAGUCUAUGCUGCUAACCCCUCCCAUAGCAGAGUUCAAGACUUCCAGUGCAUGGCUAAAGAAAGUAACCUGAAUGUGGAAGCAUAGAGCCUGGGUGCACUGGCAGCUAUUUUGGGACCAUGAGGCAAUCCAAUGUGAGAAAGAAGCAGAUUCACAGAGGAGGGGAGAACCUUGAUCAAAUAGCACAACGCCUGCCCUCUCUAGGGCCUCCUCAGUUCUGUGAGUCGAUAAAUCUACUUUACUGUUUAAGACUGUAUGAGUUUGAUACGUAGUUGCUUAUAAUUGAGAGUAUCUUAACCAAUCAAGGAGGCUAUUGUAACAUUUCUCCUAUUUCACUGUAGGGAUGUUCUGUAUGUUCUGUAUGUUGUCUAUGUAGAUAACAGGCUGCUUAGAAAAGGGACCAGGCCUUAAGCAUUUCUCUAUGCCCAGUGCUUAGCCCAGCAAGUGAUAUUCCCUUUUUUUUUUGAACCAUUCUUGGGGAGAAGAAAAUAAAGGAGAACAAGUGUAGCUAUUCCAGAAUUUUCAGGUGUUUAUAUCAUAACUCCCUUCUCUCUUCUGCUUCUAUACCUGGCGGUGUGCAUUCAUUGCAUCUUGUUUUCAAAGCCCAAACACAAAGCCCACAUUGCCGUUGAGUCCCCUGUGAUGUGACUUUGGGGAAAGAGGCGGGGAGAAAAGCCAGCAGGUGCCUGGUUACUGGAGCAGCUGGGCCAUGGAGGUGGCCCUCGGCAGAGAGGCAGUCGAGAAUCCGAGGAGAACCUUCGUGGGAGGCAGGGGUGCGGCCGGGACGAGUGAGCCCGGCUGCUUUUAUGCUCUCAGCCCGUUUCAUGGCAAUAAACUCAGCCUCGUUGCUGCAAAAGCCUUCAGCCUGAGACACACAGCCUUUCUUGUUUUCUUUGUUCAGGGUUAACUUUU
rnacentral:tRNA from 1 species